GAAUAUAUGGGUGAUUUGGCUGCAGCGUCUGUCACCCCAUUGAUUGCCAAGGUUUACUUGACUUCUGUGCUGGCUGGGCAGGCGUCUCCUUUCUCUCAGCACUGCACACCCCAUUCCAUUGAAGGAGCACAGCUCUCUGGUCACAGGUGUGUGAGUAGCUGCCCUCCUCUGCUACACCCUCCAAACAAAGCUGUCAAGAACAUGGAGCUUCUUUUGGCCUUAGCCCUACUCCUGACAAGCAUUGCAUUUGGUCAAGCUUUAUUA
rnacentral:snRNA from 1 species